GAUGGAGCACGCCGCGUGAGUGAAGAAGGCUUUCGGGUCGUAAAACUCUGUUGUUGGAGAAGAAUGGUCGGCAGAGUAACUGUUGUCGGCGUGACGGUAUCCAACCAGAAAGCCACGGCUAACUACGUGCCAGCAGCCGCGGUAAUACGUAGGUGGCAAGCGUUAUCCGGAUUUAUUGGGCGUAAAGCGAGCGCAGGCGGUUUUUUAAGUCUGAUGUGAAAGCCCUCGGCUUAACCGAGGAAGCGCAUCGGAAACUGGGAAACUUGAGUGCAGAAGAGGACAGUGGAACUCCAUGUGUAGCGGUGAAAUGCGUAGAUAUAUGGAAGAACACCAGUGGCGAAGGCGGCUGUCUGGUCUGUAACUGGACGCUGAGGCUCGAAAGCAUGGGUAGCGAACAGGAUUAGAUACCCUGGUAGUCCAUGCCGUAACGAUGAAUGCUAGGUGUUGGAGGGUUUCCGCCCUUCAGUGCCGCAGCUACGCAUUAAGCAUU
rnacentral:rRNA from 2 species